CCUACGGGAGGCAGCAGUGAGGAAUAUUGGUCAAUGGGCGGAAGCCUGAACCAGCCAAGUCGCGUGAGGGAAUAAGGCCCUACGGGUCGUAAACCUCUUUUGCCGGGGAGAAAGGGCGGGGACGUGUCCCGGCCCGGAGAGUACCCGGAGAAAAAGCAUCGGCUAACUCCGUGCCAGCAGCCGCGGUAAUACGGAGGUUGCGAGCGUGAUCCGGAUUUAUGGGGUUUAAAGGGUGCGUAGGCGGGCUGUUAAGUCAGCGGUAAAAAUUCGGGGCUCAACCCCGUCCGGCCGUUGAAACUGGGGGCCUUGAGUGGGCGAGAGGAAGGCGGAAUGCGUGGUGUAGCGGUGAAAUGCAUAGAUAUCACGAAGAACUCCGAUUGCGAAGGCAGUUCACUGGACUGCAACUGACACUGAGGCUCGAAAGUGUGGGUAUCAAACAGGAUUAGAUACCCCUGUAGUC
rnacentral:rRNA from 1 species